rnacentral:rRNA from 1 species
AGAGUUUGAUCAUGGCUCAGAGCGAACGCUGGCGGCAGGCCUAACACAUGCAAGUCGAGCGCCGUAGCAAUACGGAGCGGCAGACGGGAGAGUAACACGUGGGAACGUGCCCUUCAGUUCGGAACAACUCAGGGAAACUUGGGCUAAUACCGAAUACGUCCGUAAGGAGAAAGAUUUAUCGCUGAAGGAUCGGCCCGCGUCUGAUUAGCUAGUUGGUGGGGUAAUGGCCCACCAAGGCGACGAUCAGUAGCUGGUCUGAGAGGAUGAUCAGCCUCACUGGGACUGAGACACGGCCCAGACUCCUACGGGAGGCAGCAGUGGGGAAUAUUGGACAAUGGGCGCAAGCCUGAUCCAGCCAUGCCGCGUGGGUGAUGAAGGCCCUAGGGUUGUAAAGCCCUUUCGGCGGGGAAGAUAAUGACGGUACCCGCAGAAGAAGCCCCGGCUAACUUCGUGCCAGCAGCCGCGGUAAUACGAAGGGGGCUAGCGUUGCUCGGAAUCACUGGGCGUAAAGCGCACGUAGGCGGCUUUUUAAGUCAGGGGUGAAAUCCUGGAGCUCAACUCCAGAACUGCCCUUGAUACUGAGAGGCUUGAGUCCGGGAGAGGUGAGUGGAACUGCGAGUGUA